rfam:TPA: Bos taurus chromosome 5, whole genome shotgun sequence.
UCCGUGGAAGUCCAGUGGCUAAGACUCUGCUCUCCCAAUGCAGGGGCCCUGGGUUCGAUCCCUGAUCAGGGAA